UGUUUACUCCCUCCGUCCGAAAAUACUUGUCAUCAAAAUGGAUACAAAGGGAUGUAUCUAGAUGUAUUUUAGUUCUAGAUACACAUGUAUCUAGAUGUAUUUUAGUUCUAGAUACAUCUCUUUUUAUCCAUUUUGAUGACAAGUAUUUUCGGACGGAGGGAAUACAAA
rfam:Triticum aestivum genome assembly, contig: Triticum_aestivum_CS42_TGACv1_scaffold_221496_3B